AAAAAAGAACUGGUGGAGCAGUUUACCAUCGUUGAAGAGCGGUCACAACUCACAACCCCAAUCGCAUACGCCAUAGUCCAUAACUCCAUACGAAGCCGGUAUCCACGCAGCCACGCACGAUGCACCCACAAGCCCUCACUCUCCUCGCCACCGACCACCGUAGUCUGAAGUCUGAACUCUAAACGCCGUCUACCACCAGUGACCAGUCUCCUCGCUCCUCGCCACCGUAGCCUCACCGCUGUCUACCACCGUUGAAGACCAACCGGCGACCAGAGAGGCCUUAACCCCCGAAGUCCAUGAGAGCCACACCCCUAAUUCAUAUGUUCGCUCUCUUCCACUAGCGAGAAGAGUGAGUUGUGGUAGCAAGUACCGGCCUUGAUCAAUGAAGAAGAUGGUAGUCCGGCCACCUUCACAUUGAAACUCCAAAAUCAUAGAAAACUAAGUUGCUGAAAGCCUUCAUCUUCUCCAUGCUAUCUCAAAGUGGAAUACAAACCUCAGGGCUCAGCCUCCCCCGUUCCAACAACACCUCCAUGGCUCCACCUCUGUUUCUUGGAAGUUACUUCUGAAAACCUCAAAGAGGGAGAGGGAGGGAGCACUCAGGGUUUCAGCAGGAAUGGAAAAUUGCUCUGAGUUGGACAGGACAAAACCUUCCCAAAAUGCUUUCCAUUUCCCUCCGCCUCAUCGUCGCCGAACUUUGAUGAGUGAGACUUACCGCACGCUGAUUCACAUCCUAUCCCAUUGCCCCACCAGCUCUGAACUUCAAUCUUCUCAGGAAAAACAAGAAGAAACUGGUUGUUCAGAAUCAGGAAAAGAGAUCACUGCUCAUGGUGCAUUAGUUGAUCAACACAUGGAGGCCGAAAUUAAGUUAGUGAAUGAUAUUGAUCAUGAGAAAAACAGAACUCAUGACAUAUCGCAGGAAAUGGGUGAUAUCAGUGAGGGGCAAAUAAAAUAUUGUAUUGAUUUGUUGGAUCACAUUGAUGAUGCAGUGGAAGUUAAUGGGGAAGUCCCUCAAAAAAAUGGUGCUAACAACGGUAUCUCAAGCUCUUUGGUGGACAACAAUCAAGCUAGUACUCUGGUUUUGCAGUCAUAUAAUGAGCAAGAAGAUAAGUCUAACACCCCAGAAUUACAAUUGGGGGAAUCUGAUCUUGUGAAACUCCAAAAUAUGGAUAAAGACAUCUCUGUUCAUGAAACUUGUGCCACUAUGGAGUCAUGUUUUAUGGAUGAGGAUAAUGAACUGACUCAACUUGUUCAGAGUCGUGAAGAGAAAAGCCAUAUUGCAGAGAAUAAAUUUUUUGAAGACAUGGAACAUGGAUUGCAACUGAAUGAGAUGGAACUACAAAAUCUGGUAGACAACAAUCAAGCUAGUACUCUUGACCACAUUGAUGAUGCAAUGGAUGUUAACGGGGAAGUCCCUCAAAAGAAUGGUACUGACAAUGGGUCAGGCUCUUUGGUGGACAACAAUCAAGCUAGUACUCUUGUUUUGCAGUUGUAUGAUGAGCAAGAAGAUAAGUCUAACACCCCAGAAUUGCAAGUGGGGGAAUCUGAUAUCACAAAACUGCAACAUAUGGAUAAAGAAAUAUCUAUUCGUGAAGCUUGUGCCACAAUAGAAUCUUGUUUUAUGGAUGAGGAUAAUGAACUGUCUCAAGUUGUUCAGGGUGGUCAAGAGGAAGGCCAUGUUGCGGAGAAUAAUCUUUUGGAAGACAUGGAGCACGAAUUGCAACUUAGAGAUAUGGAACUGCAAAACUUGGUGGACAACAAUCAAGCUAGUAUUCUUGAUCCCAAUGAUGAUGCAAUGGAAGUUAAUGGGGGAGUCCCUCAAAAGAAUGGUGCUAACAAUGGGAUCUCAAACGCUUUGGUGGACAACAACCAAGCUGGUACUCUUGUUUUGCAGGUGUAUAAUGAACAAGAAGAUAAGUCUAAUGACCCAGAAUCAUGUUUUAUGGACGAGGAUAAUGAACUGACUCUACUUGCUCUGAGCAGUGAAGAGAAAAGCCAUGUUGCAGAGAAGAAUUUGUUGAAAGGCAUGGAGCAUGGAUCGCAACUUAAAGAGAUGGAAUUACAAAAUUUGAUCUCUGCCUCUGGAGCAGCUAAUUCAUCAGUUCCUGAAACUGUAGUUGAAGAGAUUGAAGAAGGGGAAAUUUCUGGGGAUGCUGGGGUUAGUGAUGAAUCAGAUGGUGACAUGUUUGAAGACACAGUGUCACUAGAGCAAGGGCAUACUCAUGUGAGUAUCACAGCUGAAAAAGAGUUCAUUCUUGAUGUUCUGGACACCAAACUUCAGGAAAAGCAUGUACUGACUUCAUUUUCUAAUGAUUCAGCAGAUGGUUGCAGCAAUAUUUCUAAGGAGCUUCUUGGAAAAAAAUCUGAGGUGGAGGAGAGUGACUUUGAAAUGGUUGUUUACCAGAAAGAUGUUGAGACUGAGAAGAUUGAUGGGUUUGAUAAUGUUAUAGAUAGUGAAAUAGUUAAUGGACAAGUAGAUGGUGUUGGGAAGGUAGACAGUUCUGCAGCUUGUUUGGCAUUGAAGACAGUCUCCUUAGAAAAUGCUACUAAAAGUAAAGGUUCUGUUACUGAUGCUGAGUUAGAGGUUGUAAAUGAAGGCAAAAGGAAAAAGAAGAGAGGCCCUAUAACCAAGGAAAAAAGAGCAAAGAAAAAGUGCAAAGAGAGGAUUAAGCGAGCUCAAAAGAACAUAAAGCUAGGAGUGAAAAGACUAAAGCUGCCACCAACUGUGAAACCAAAAACAGUGUCAUAUUGCCGCCAUUAUCAGAAAGGAAGGUGCCACGAGGGUGAAAAGUGCAAAUUCUCUCAUGAUAUAAUUCCAUUAACCAAAUCCAAGCCAUGCUGCCAUUUUGCACGCCAUUCUUGCAUGAAAGGUGAUGAUUGCCCAUUUGAUCAUCAGCUCUCCAAAUAUCCAUGCAAUAAUUUUGUAUCCAACGGUUUUUGCAGCAGAGGUGUAGACUGUUUGUUCUCACACAAGGUGCCAGCUAAGACAGAGUCUUCGGCACCUCCUAUCAUCUCCAAGGCUGAGUUGAGUUCACCUUUACUUCCAAAUAGUUUAAGCCCAAAGAUGCAAGUGAAUGCUCAUGGUAGCUCUCAGCUUUUUCCUGGGAAGAACACAGGGCAUACUGUAGGUGACACUGUCCAAAAGCUUGCUGUGCGUGCACCAAAAGGUGUAAGCUUUCUCAGUCAUGGGAAGUUGCCAGUUGGCGAUACUAAUCAUAAAGAAUUUGGUUCAUCAUUGAAGGAAGGUGAUUCUGGCAAAUUUAAUCAUGAGGAAAUCCAUUCUAAGUCAGACAAUACUCAAAAGCCAAACGACGUUAUCAAGGGACCAACUUCAAGGAUACCACAUGGGAUAAACUUCCUUUCCCUUGCUAGAGCUCCUUUGACUGAUUCCAGUUCUAAGACAAUACCAAGCUUUCUUAACAGAGAUUAUAGAAUUGGAAAAUUUCAGUUAGAUGAAUUUAGUAAAGGUAAGGAUACUGCCUCAUCUCCAAGGAGUGGUGGUAGUUGUAGAAAUGAGAUGACAACCAGAACUCCCCCUAAAUCUAUGCCUCGGGGCAUAAGCUUACUCUCAUUUGGCAAAGUGUCAUUGGAUGUUACUUGUUCAACAGAGCAAGCUAUAAUCUGUAAUAAAGAGUACAAGACUGCGUCACCUGUGGUUCAAGGGAUACAAGGUUCACUAAAUAGACUUGGUGGCUCGGGGGAAAUGCAAUUUAAGUUUUCAUCUUCUUCGUUUCCAUCAAAUCAGCUAAUGGGUCAAUCUGCAGUGGGGCACAGUGAAGGAAUGCCCAACUCAUCAAAGACAACAUUCUUGGCAAAUAUACCAAGCUCAGCACAAAAGGCUCUCCAAUCAACAUUAGCAUUCGCAGCUAAGUUCGAGUCUGGAAUCAAGUUAGACCAAUCAAUUGGUGGUGCCUCUGUUGCGAGUUCCAACAUCAAAGAGCAUCGCUGAGGGUUCAAAAGAUUACUCUUAGGAUGGCCUCAGCAGUUUUGAAGUUUGUACAUCCUUGCUCUCAUUUACAGUACUCAUUCAAUGUCACAAUAUUGCUCCAUGGAGAGGAAUGGGAAGAGAUAAACAAAAGGUUAGAUAAACAUGUUACUUUGUUUUUCUUCCUGCAUUAUUAAGAUUAAGAAAAACAAAGAGAAUGCCUGAGCAAUGGCUAACCACCCAGUCUAUAUAUCACAGGAGCGACUUCUUUAUUAAAUCAAUUCAGAAAAAUCAAUCCAGACCAAUGGGAAUUUGCAAAUGAAGGGUUUCAGAGAAAGGGAAGGAAUUGCUGAAGACUUUCAAGAGGAGAAAGCAGCAGCAACCAGGAGUGGCAGUGAGUUGGCUAUUUUUUUUUUUUUUUUGGGUGACGAGGGAAACCUGUAACCAUUACCUGAGGGUGUGUAUAGGGUAAUCCUCGCCUUGUGACCCUAGUUGGCAAAGGACCACAAGGAGGUAGCCAGUUUAGGUUGUCCAUAGCUGACCGGCUCAAACCAAGAAGGCUGAGAUUUGAACCCGUGAUGUGGUUAUAGGUUUGUAUGUUUAGUCAUUUUGGCUGGGGUUACCCCACGCAUAAGUCAUCAGGAGGAAACUUUGUGAAGCUCCUUAGGGCUGCAAGAAAUAAUCAUCUAGUGAAACCCAAUCAUUUUGGUCAGUCAGGUUUGUUGUUUGUUGUUGCUGUCUUCUUAGCUAGCUUGGAUGCUGCCAUGACCACAUAGUUGCAUGCUGGGAACAGGAAAAUAGUUUGUUGGAUUGAUAGUGCUUUAGUUCACAGAAGGAUACAUGUAGAUACAGUCUAAUUCUUAAAGUUGGGGUUUCUUUCUUGCAAUGUCAAAACUGAAGAAUGAAGAUGGAGAAACUUGUUCUGUUCUUCCAAAAGAAAUACAAAAACAAAUGACUGUCCCAGCUUGACCUCAA